ACCCAGGGUAUCUCCAAAGGCCAACUUGUUUUUUUUUAAAAAAGAGAGAGAGAGAGAGAGAGAGAAAGAGAUAGAGAGAGAAAGAGAGAGAGAGAGAGAAGAGGAAGGGAGACAGCUUACCUGAGUUGUCACCGGAGCCACCGCGCCUCGAGACCACGUUGAGCUCGUCACCACCGUUCGCUGCAGCUUAGAAUCGCCGGAAACCGCCAUGCAGUUAAGCUUAGUUUCGUCCGUUUAGUAAAUCGACCAUAACUUAUUAACCUUUGCGAAUCUCGUGCAUCCAAGCCCAUCAUCGUGUUCCUCUCGUCGAGACGAAGCCGUAGACACCAAGCACGCCUCAAACGGAGCCCGGACGAAGCCGUACGCGCCUCCAGAAAACCGCCCUUCGCGCGCGCGUGAAACGCACGCGCCGCCGCCGGAAAUCGUCGCCACCGCAGCUCCGCCGCCGGACCACCGUCUGCUGCCGCAGCUCCGCCGUCGCCGCCGGCCAACUUUCCGAUUUGGAGUCCAUUUGAGCAGCUGGAGUUCAUAGACAACACUUUUCUAUUGCUAAGGUGAGACAAACAAGUAUGUGAUAUUUGGACGGACUUGGUGCUAUUGGACUUGUCUUUCGGAUUUUAUUUGGGCAUGGGUGAGAGUUGUCGGGUUUAUGGGCUUUUAUAUUACGGGAUAUUGUUGGUGGCCCGUCGUCCUUAGUGUCAGGGAGACGGGUAUCACAUUGUUGUAUGAUGACGCGUCGGGGGUGACACGCUGUCCUCCAUAUAGGAGGUGACGGGUGUCACAAUUUGGUAUCAGAGCGGGUUCCAUCCGGGUUCCGUCCGGGAUGGCGGUCAGGGGAUUCGGUUUUCAUCGGUUUUCAACUUAAAAAAAAACUAUAUAUUUAUUUAUACAUUUCGAAAUUCUUUUAGCACCAUUCUGUCCAGUAAUUACUAACUCAAAUGUCUCUUUCUAUGAUGAUGAGUAAAAUCAUCGUCAUUCGUCCUUCGACUAACAACGUUCUCGACAGAUGUUCAGCAGUUGCGUGAAGUCCAAGUUCGUCAGUUUUCUCGGGAGUUAUCAGUUUCUUCGGACAUGAUUUCGAGGCUAUCCAGGAGUGGAUAUAUGACGUUUCUGCCACCAGCCCACUUCAAGCAAUCGUUCCACGAGUUUUGUUACUGGAGAUUUUGUGGUGUGUGAUAUGAGCCAUUGGUUGGCAUGUGUUGUUGUGUGUACGAGUAUAUUGACUAUUUUGGAGAUAUAUUUGUUUUGUGAACUCGUGGAGAUCGCUUUUGAAUUGGGGUGCAGCAGCUUGCGUUGUGUGGGUGUUGGAGUUACACUUUGGUAUGUUUACCAAUUUUGGCAGUGUUGAUCGUUUCAGAGAUGUGUCAGUUUGGACAACUGACAUAGGACAUUGAAAGCUAUUUAUAUCCAUCGCAGUGUACCAGUUAUGCUUGGUGGGCCGAUUUGUUCGGAUAUUCAUCAGAGAUGGAGCUACGUUUUUACGAUGUUAUCCUUGGGAUGGAUUGACCGUCACGGCAUCAAGUAGUGUUGGAUUGCCUGAGGGCAAGAGUUCCGAUUGCUGGAGCAGAUGGAAGUUGUUAGUGCAUGCAUGCUACAUACUGAGGAGUUAUGGGAUACAAGGAUAUAUAGAUUUUUGACUACCAUCUCGAUGGUUAAGGAUGAUGUACAACAUGAGCUGCAGGAUCUUCCGGUUAUUGCAGAGUAUGAGGACAUAUUUGUGACCUUUGGAACGGUCACCACAUGACACAUGAGAAACUCUUGCGAUUUGUUUGGAGCAAACAACACCAGUUUCACAAGUUUUAUACCGAUUAGCACCAACAGAGAUGACAAAGCUGAAAGAGCAUGUUGAAGAUUCAUCAGACAAGGGUUUUAUCAGACCGGGUACUUUACCGUGGGGAACAUCAUCAUUGUUGUUGUAAAGAAGAAAGGUGGGAGUUUCAAUUUUGUAUCGACUGCAAAGGUCUGAACAAAGUGACCAUUAAAGAUAAGUAUCGCUUCCGCGCGUUGAUGAUUUAUUGGAUUAUUUAUAGGAAGUUUAUAGUUCUUGAAGGUUGACAUGGCAUCAGAACACCAUCAGAUUACUAUAUUUGAAGAGUAUCUACUGAAUGUGAAUUUUUGUAUACAUUAUGGAUAUUAUGGGACGCAGUGAUACCAUUUGGCUCGACAAAGGCAUCGUUGCAUUCAUGAAGAUAUGAAUGACGUUUUCGUGAACAUUUGGAUAGGUGUGCGAUUGUAUUCAUCGAUGACAUCCUGAUUUAUUUUGGAGUAGAAAGGAGAUUUGUGAGCAUUUCGCGGAUGGUGUUGGAUAAGCUUGGAGAGCAUCAACUGUUCGCUAAGUUGAAGAAGUGUAGCUUCUGGCAGAGGAAUGUUGGAUUUUUGGGUAACAUGGUUUUGGAAGCAGAAUUUUGAUGGAUUCAAAGAAGAUUAAUACCGUUUCGGGAAGGUCGAAACCUAAGAGCGCUACAAAGAUCUGCCGUUCUUUUUGGGUUAAUAGUGUACUACUGGAAGUUCAUCAAGGGUUUCACCGGUAUAGUAAUGUUAAAGACGCGGUCUACAUGUAAAGACGUUAAGUGUGGCUGGAUAGAUUUUUGUUCGAGGAGUUUCACUGAAUUGAAGCACAACUAAUGAAGACACCAGUUUUGAGUUCUACUGAGGCUGAGGCUUACUGUGAUGUGUCAGAUACUGGAUUGGAUUUAAAUUAAGGUAUGAGGAUUAAGUCAUUCAUAUGCAUGACACCAGAGAUUCUGUAGUGGUAUUUGCGUUAUCGUUUUGGAAAUCGUAAUUGUACGGGAAGGAAAUUCAGAUUCUCUGGGAUUAUUAGAAUGUGAAAUUUAUCUUCAUUUAUUAAAAACUUGUACUUGGACAGUGCAGUUGGAUUGAGUUUGUAGCAGGCUAUAGUCUGGAUAUCGCAUACUAUCUGGUAAGGACAACCAGGUGAUAAAUGCCUUCGGUAGGCGUAUGAGCUGUAUCUCAGGAACCAAGAAGGUUCAUGAGUUGGAGAUUUGCUAGUCUCAGGUUGGGUGCCAUUACUAUCAAUGGAGAGACAGAUGUCCUUGGGACUUUGGAGCAGGCAGUUUUGCUAUGGAGGAUACACAAGCACAAGUUAGCAUUCUGGAUUGGUUGAACAGAUCGAGAUUGGGAGUAUUGGAUAUCAUACAGCUUUGAGCAGGAUAUACUUGUAAUGAAACCGAGUUUGUGUGUUGGACGAUAAGUUGUUAAGAAAAGGAAUCUUACAACAAACAUAUCACUCGUGUUUCUCUACCCAUCGGGAAGACCAAAGGGCACAAAGAUAUGAAGAGUUAACUAUAAUUGGUGUAAUAUGAUGAUGUUUGUAACUACAUUACGUCGCGGUGCCAGACAUGUUAUAUGGCAAUAACAGAGGAUCAGUCAUCUAUCAUGUUAUUUUUGAGCUUGCUUUUGCCGGAGUAGAAAUGAGGCAUGGUGAUUAUGGACAUUGUUAUUGGAUUUUAAAUCACCAUAUGUGGAAAGGAUGCCACAUGGAUAGUCAUGGAUAGACUUACCAAGUCAGCCCAUUUCCUAAGUAAUUAAGAAGAUAAUCAGGGCUAAUCAAUUGGAGCAAACCUACAUUAUUGAGUUCAGGAAGUUUCAUGGAUGUCAACAUUGUAUCGGAUUGGGAAUCGAAGUUCACAUCUACAUUUCAGAGAGCCUUUUCGGAAGGCACUUGGUACAAAGAUCAUAUGGGUACAUCUUAUCACCCGUUGACAUAUUGUCAGUCAGAGAGGACUACUCAGAACUUAAAGGAUAUGUUCAGAGAUUGUGUGGGAUGGAAUUUUGGAAAGCAUCUACCCAUACCAGAGUUUGCCUACAUCGACAGCUAUCUUUUGAGUAUUAAAAAAAUUAUUAUAUGAGGGUUAUUUAUGGUAGACCUUAUAGUAUACCACUUUGUUGGACCAAAGUGGGGGAGCAAUAUGAGUUAGAACUAUUAAUAGUUCAAGAGACAGUAGAGCAAAGGACAUGCUCAAGAAUUGGCUUUCGGAAGCCCAUGACGUCAGAAGAUUUAUGCAGCUAAGCGCCAUAAAUAUUUGGAGCUACAUAUGGGCGACUUAAUAUACCUGAAAAUAAGGACAUUUUAGGAGGGACCUAAGACUCAGAUGAUAAAAGAGCUUAAACCGAGGCACAUGGGAUUGUAUCCUUCACUGGAAGGGAUUGGAUUAGUUGCUUGCAGUUAUUUUAUAAGCAGUGUAUCAGCCUUUUAUGACUUGGUUCAUAUGACAGCAUUGCAAAAGUUGAGAAGGCGCUAUAAUUAUUUUGCAGUUGACGUCAAGUGAGUUCAUAAAGAUUUUAUGGACCUUAUCAUCUAUUGAAGAUUUUGGAUCAUCAAGAGAAAACAGUUCGGGGAAUCUCGACCGUGUUUGUCCGAGUUCGUUGGGAGAGAGAUAAGACUCAGGAGGAGACCAGAAAGGCCGAGCGAGGAUUAGAAUUCGAGGUUUUGGAGGUUUUUCUACGAUAACAUUGUGUAUGUCAGCUUAUGACUUGAAUUCGGGGACGAAUUCCUUGUAAGUGGGGGAGAAUUGUAAUGACCCCAACCCCAGGGUAUCUCCAAAGGCCAACUUGUUUUUUUUUUAAAAAGAGAGAGAGAGAGAGAGAGAGAGAGAGAGAGAGAGAGAAGAGAGAGAGAGAGAGAGAGAGAGAGAGAGAGAGAGAGAAGAGGAAGGGAGACAGCUUACCUGAGUUGUCACCGGAGCCACCGCGCCUCGAGACCACGUUGAGCUCGUCACCACCGUUCGCUGCAGCUUAGAAUCGCCGGAAACCGCCAUGCAGUUAAGCUUAGUUUCGUCCGUUUAGUAAAUCGACCAUAACUUAUUAACUGUUGCGAAUCUCGUGCAUCCAAGCCCAUCAUCGUGUUCCUCUCGUCGAUACGAAGCCGUAGACACCAAGCACGCCUCAAACGGAGCCCGGACGAAGCCGUACGCGCCUCCAGAAAACCGCCCUUCGCGCGCGCGUGAAACGCACGCGCCGCCGCCGGAAAUCGUCGCCACCGCAGCUCCGCCGUCGCCGCCGGCAAACUUUCCGGUAAGCCGCCGCCGCAGCUCCGCCGUCGCCGCCGGCCAACUUUCCGGUAAGCCGCCGCCGCAGCUCCGCCGUCGCCGCCGGUGACCGACACCGGUGACUCACCGGCGACUCGGUCAACUCGGCCGAGUCAACUCAGUGAGUCAACUCGGUUGACUCGGUUAACCGAUCGGUUAGCCGGUUUAAAUUGAUUUUGGUUCGGUUAGGGUAAACCGGUCGGUUUAGUCAAAUCGAUUUCCGGGUUGACUUUGACCGGGUUGACUUUGACCAACGGAUUUGGAGUCCAUUUGAGCAGCUGGAGUUCAUAGACAACACUUUUCUAUUGCUAAGGUUCAUGAACUAUCCAACAUGGAACCAAGAGCACCAUUAUCAAAUAACAAUGGUAUUCGGUCAUUGGAGGAUUUCCAAAUGGUUUUCAAGCUUAAAAGACUGGAAUUUUUCUCCAACUGCGACUCUCUUCGGGUAGCUUGGCUCAGAAACAAUAUUUUCAAGAGGUGUUUCUGGUUAACUGCUGAUUCUCCUUGGUUUUCAGCCACAAUUAUGAGUUAAGGAUGGCCAUUCUGGAUCUUUCUGAUUUGAUUCUUGGACUGAGCUCGGGCCCUUAAUAUCUAUGGUAGGAGAAAAGGGACCGAGAUCACUUCGAAUCAGGAAAAACGCUCAUAUUGUUGAUGCCACAAGAAAUGGUUCAUGGUGUUUUCCACCUGCAAGAAGUCAGGAAAUGAUUAUGUUCCAAGCUGAUGUCUCUACUAUUUCAAUUCCCCUCUGCUUCCAUCCAACGGCACGGACUGCUACUUAUGGCUCCAAGUAGACGGGAACUAUGGAACCUCUUUCUCCUCCAAGGUUACUUGGGAUCAUAUCCGAGUUACAUCUCCAAACGUAUCAUGGUAUAAAGUGAUAUGGAAGGAGCACAUUCCUAGAAACUCUGUUGUGUCUUGGUUGGCAUUAUUGAGAAUGCUCCCAACAAAGGACAGACUCCGAAGAUGUGGAAUGAAUGUCUCAGAUAUUUGUGUGCUUUGUAACAAUGGGAUUGAAACUCAUCACCACUUUUUUUUUGAGUGGUGUACUACUCAGCCAUAUGGUUUUACCUGUGUUUUUUGAGUGGUGUACAAUCUUGCUCAAGCUUCUCUUGCAAUCAACAAUUUAUCUCCUGUGGAGGGAGAAAAAUGCAAGAAUUUUCACUACAACUGUCUCGUUUCCGGAAGCUCUUCGCGUAUCACUCGACCGACUCAUCAGAGACCGCUUGCUCUACAUUCUCUCCAUACCGGUAACCCCUUCAUCUACUCGCUCUCUUCUGCAAUUUUACUUCUCAUGUUCUUUGUCUUUUUGCCUUAAGGGUUGUUGUCGUUUUUCUAUAUUUGCUGUAAUAAGUUGCUGCUGCAUCAUUGUAAAAUCUUUAACUGGUAUAAAUUUUAACAUUUUACCAAGAGAAAAGAGCACCAUUAUAAGUAAGAUACCCAUUUAGUCUAUCACUAAUUUAUAAUCAUCUAAUCUAUUAAAACUGAAGUACAAUUAGUAUUUAACCCUGAUUUUUCCUUAAUAUUUACCAUUCCAUGCCAUUGAUUUAAACACAGCCGUUUUAUAUAUUUUGUAUUGAUUCAAUAUUUAUUUUAUUAAGAUUUUGACGAGAAUAAUCUAAACCAAACGAUCUCAACGCAGUGAGAACAAAAAAAGACACACAAACAGAAUCCGAUCAUAGGGGAGUUUCGAGAGAGAGAGAGAGAGGAAACAGACUUCCUCUUGAUAUCAUGUUCAUCUUCUGCAUCCCUCUCCUCCAUCUCUGCUUUCUCGCUUUCGCUUUGGGUCCUUCCUCUGCUUUGAUUCCCAUCGCAAUACUCACUAUGAUAUAUUUCCAUGGCACUUAUCCAGUUAUCUGAUAACGUUAAAGAAUGAAGCUUGGUUGACUUACAUCACUUUCAACCACACGAAGGCUACUUCCACUUAGAUCUCUUGGCCAACUCCAUCCCUCCUUUCAAGUUCCAUCUCCCUCUCUCUCUUCCUUUAUCUUUCAGCCUUUAAUUUCACAUCUUUUUCUGAAAGUCAGCAUCUUUGCUAGGUUAUGUGAAUUGUUUUUGUUCAUGGGUCUGGUCAAAGCUUUGAUUUUUUUGUUCAAAGCCAUGUACUUUCCGUUAAUUGAUCUGAAUGAUUCACGUAUUCAUUGGUUUAGACCUCAUGUUGUAUUGUUUAUGCAAUAUAAUUCCUCAUAUUAAUGGUUAUAAAAACAUAAGCUUCCAGUGUUCGAAAGCUGCUUCCUUUUUUUUUGCAGGAAUCGAGCAAAGAGCGAUGUAUCGUUCCAGAUGCUCCUGUUCGAGCUCAAAAGUUGCGCCAAGGUAUCAGAGAUUCUUGAGGAACUGAAGAAAGAUCCAGAGAGGCAUGUAAUUGCGCAGAGAGUGAUACAACUGUUCCAGAUUCUCCUGCUCGAGCUGAAAAGUUUGCUGAAAGUUGGAACCUCUUAAAAUAUGGGGAGAUUCUUGAGGACUUGAAGAAUGAUCCGAAGAGCCAUGGGGAGAUUCUUGAGGACUUUUCUCUUACCAAGCUACCUAGAUCUUUCUCUUAGCAUUAUCUCUUUAAAGUCUAUCUUAAAAACACAAGCUAUGUUACAAAAAAAAAAAAAAAAAAAAAAAACACAAGCUGAUAUUUGAGUGCUAUCUUAUUUCAACUUGUAACAUGCAUAUUCCUUUUCACUGGAAGCAGCCAAAUUCAGACUAUGCACGCUCUGCCUCACAGGUUUCUGUAUUAAAUAGAUGUAAAAACUAACACAUUCUCAAUAUAUUUUAGUGACAGCUGCUCCAAAAAUUAUUUAAAUAACCUUGAUUACA